rnacentral:rRNA from 1 species
CUACGGGUCGCUGCAGUGGGGAAUAUUGCACAAUGGGCGCAAGCCUGAUGCAGCCAUGCCGCGUGUAUGAAGAAGGCCUUCGGGUUGUAAAGUACUUUCAGCGGGGAGGAAGGGAGUAAAGUUAAUACCUUUGCUCAUCGACGUUACCCGCAGAAGAAGCACCGGCUAACUCCGUGCCAGCAGCCGCGGUAAUACGGAGGGUGCAAGCGGUAAUCGGAAUUACUGGGCGUAAAGCGCACGCAGGCGGUUUGUUAGGUCAGAUGUGAAAUCCCCGGGCUCAACCUGGGAACUGCAUCUGAUACUGGCAAGCUUGAGUCUGGUAGAGGGGGGUAGAAUUCCAGGUGUAGCGGUGAUAUGCGUAGAGAUCUGGAGGAAUACCGGUGGCGAAGGCGGCCCCCUGGACGAAGGCUGACGCUCAGGUGCGAAAGCGUGGGGAGCAAACAGGAUUAGAUACCCUAGUAGUC